rnacentral:rRNA from 1 species
AGUGAACGCUGGCGGUAGGCCUAACACAUGCAAGUCGAACGGCAGCACAGUAAGAGCUUGCUCUUACGGGUGGCGAGUGGCGGACGGGUGAGGAAUACAUCGGAAUCUACUUUUUCGUGGGGGAUAACGUAGGGAAACUUACGCUAAUACCGCAUACGACCUACGGGUGAAAGCAGGGGAUCUUCGGACCUUGCGCGAUUGAAUGAGCCGAUGUCGGAUUAGCUAGUUGGCGGGGUAAAGGCCCACCAAGGCGACGAUCCGUAGCUGGUGUGAGAGGAUGGUCAGCCGCACUGGAACUGAGACACGGUCCAGACUCCUACGGGAGGCAGCAGUGGGGAAUAGUGGACAAUGGGCGCAAGCCUGAUCCAGCCAUACCGAGUGGGUGAAGAAGGCCUUCGGGUUGUAAAGCCCUUUUGUUGGGAAAGAAAAGCAGCAGGUUAAUACCCCGCUGUUCUGACGGUACCCAAAGAAUAAGCACCGGCUAACUUCGUG